CUUAAAGAUUAAUUAUCAGCGGUCCCUCCUAGAACUGCAAGAAUUGGGGUACUCAGACUUGGUGUGGGGGAUAUCCCUUCAUCCAGAGCAUGUACAGAGCUGCAUACUCUUUCCAGAAUCCCUUAACAAGUUCUGCAAGUUAUUUUUAGGAAAAGUUCUUGGUGAAUGCCAGGAGGCCCAAGAUCUAUCAUUUACAAAGAAACAGAAGUGCCGGCACUUGGUGUGUAAUGUCUGACAGCUGGCAUUCUGCACCUUCCAGACAAGUCAGUCUUGUAUAGGAAGCCUGCUGCCCUGGGAAGCAAGCACACUCAGCCUAGAAGAAAUCACAGGAAGUAAUUAAACAGAGAAGGAAGGCAAUAAAAGACUUAAGGUCCCUACCCCACACCCCAGCAUUUAGAUACUCCAUCUGAAGUCUUGAACUGAUGCCACCACCCAGCAGUUUCCAAAUAAGUGAUUGAAAACCCAUAAGCACGGCAAGUGUUUAUGAACCAAAUACAUAAUGUCACUCAUACAUAUCUGUUACUCUCUUGUACUGCAUAGCUCCUUUACAGAAUAAUAAAAACACAACCUCAUUAAAACACU